rnacentral:lncRNA from 1 species
UUUAACAUCGUAUUUCCCUAAUUUGAGCCUGAUUUAGUCGCUGGAGUAUUUGGACGCCUCUUCUAUGGUGCCGAUAGUUAAUUAAACAGAUGUUGCAGAGGGAAUCAUUAAUUUUAGUGCUGCAGAUGGGAGCGGAAUGACUUUGUGAAGUUAAUGUUUCAGCAAAACAAUGGGCUUCUGUCAUCAGUUGGUAUAAACUGAGUAAAUUAAGAGAACAAGUAGAAUAGGGUAGGUCGCUCUGAAGAAAUAUCAAUUAUUCAUUUUCAGAAUUACACUUCUUUUGUGUCUUUGCAGUCCCAUAAGGGGAGAAAAGUGGAUUCUGCAAGGAGGCAUAGUGGUAGCUGGAGGAAAGCAGAUUGAGAGAGUCUAAAGCAUUAGGAAAAAAGCUCAAGACACUGAAAGGGAUGUGGAGAGAGAGAUGUGCCAAUAAAAGUGUUUGGACCUAAAGCUGAACAUCUACCUAUCUGACUGACGCAUCAAAUUUUGUGUCAUUGGGGAUUCUACACAUGUUGAUGGCUCACAAUACUGCAUGUAUGUUAAAAUCUCCAGAUCAUCUUAAGCUACAGCGUUCAAAAAAUAGGUCGGACCUGGUCUGUCUGGUUUCCAGACCCAAUUCAGAAAACACCACACUUCAACAAAGUCUGAAAGCUCGUAACGAAGAAGCUAUAGAGCUGUGAUCUGGAAUCUGAGAAGGAUGAACCCACGACCUUCAGGGAAGUGGCCAGGAAGCCGCGAGUUUAAGGGAACCAAACAGGUACCUACAUCUUGUCCUAGUUGCUCCUGGGGGCUGUCGGGGCCUCCUUGGGUUUUGUCUUCUGUCACUAGAAGUGUUCAAAGAUAAAGUAAUGCAUGUUUAAACUUUUAAGAGUUUUUUGGGGGCAAAAGUUCGCUUGACUCGAGUAGCGUCUACUCUAAGAGAUGGAAAGGGGCUCCGGGGAGCUGUGCAGAUGAACGUCUUUUGUAAGCAGACAUGAGGGGGAGUAAGGACGUAAGGACGUUAAUAAGGCAAAAGAGUGGGUUAUUGGUUAUUGCAAAGUUAGUUUCCUUUAGCCAGUGGCAGGAGUCUAUCAGGGGAAUGACCUGACACGUGCUGUUCCGCUGAUUCCUGAUUGGUUUAAAAUUCCGCUUCUGAGGGAGUUAAAACUGUAAGGAAAUGAAGUCUUGGUUUGGUGAUGUAGAGCAUGGCAUAAACAACUCCAUUUUGGGCCUAUUGUCUCAAUUUUAAUCCUUCCUUUUUCCUUUCUUCCUUCCGCCUCUCCUUUCUUCAACAACUAUUGAGUUAGUAUCAGGCAUUCAUGAGCAAAACAAAGCAGAUGUGAUUUCUAAUCUUCUAAUCUAAUGUGCUCAAUUAGUUGUAAUACACUGAUAGGAAAGUAAUCAUUUAUUUGGGUGCCCAGAAGGGUACAUGGUAUAGCCAGGUGGAGGGGAGACUGGAGAUGAGAGAUCAGAGCUUUCCCCCAGGGAGUGACUUCUAAGCUGAAACCUAAAGCAUUGACAAGAGUAAACCAGAUUGGGGGUGAGAGUGGGGCUUGGGGAAAUUCCAAGAAGGAAGGGCCUGAGAUGAAAUAGAAAUUCAGUGUGGGGAACAUCCAUUGUGUGCUGUGAAAUAAAUUAAGAUAAACGAGCCUAGAG